GAUGAACGCUGGCGGCGUGCCUAAUACAUGCAAGUCGAGCGAACGGACGAGAAGCUUGCUUCUCUGAUGUUAGCGGCGGACGGGUGAGUAACACGUGGAUAACCUACCUAUAAGACUGGGAUAAUUUCGGGAAACCGGAGCUAAUACCGGAUAAUAUUUUGAACCGCAUGGUUCAAAAGUGAAAGACGGUCUUGCUGUCACUUAUAGAUGGAUCCGCGCUGCAUUAGCUAGUUGGUAAGGUAACGGCUUACCAAGGCAACGAUGCAUAGCCGACCUGAGAGGGUGAUCGGCCACACUAGAACUGAGACACGGUCCAGACUACUACGGGAGGCAGCAGUAGGGAAUGUUCCGCAAAGGGCGAAAGCCUGACGGAGCAGCGCCGCGUGAGUGAUGAAGGUCUUCGGAUCGUAAAACUCUGUUAUUAGGGAAGAACAUAUGUGUAAGUAACUGUGCACAUCUUGACGGUACCUAAUCAGAAAGCCACGGCUAACUACGUG
rnacentral:rRNA from 1 species